AGAGUUUGAUCAUGGCUCAGGAUGAACGCUGGCGGCGUGCUUAACACAUGCAAGUCGAACGAACCUUCGGGUUAGUGGCGGACGGGUGAGUAACGCGUGAGAAUCUGCCCUCAGGAGGGGGAUAACGGUUGGAAACGACCGCUAAUACCCCAUAUGCCUACUGGUGAAACGAAUUUCGCCUGAGGAUGAGCUCGCGUCUGAUUAGCUAGUUGGUGAGGUAAUGGCUCACCAAGGCUUCGAUCAGUAGCUGGUCUGAGAGGAUGAUCAGCCACACUGGGACUGAGACACGGCCCAGACUCCUACGGGAGGCAGCAGUGGGGAAUUUUCCGCAAUGGGCGAAAGCCUGACGGAGCAACGCCGCGUGAGGGACGAAGGCCUCUGGGCUGUAAACCUCUUUUCUCAAGGAAGAAGAUAUGACGGUACUUGAGGAAUAAGCCACGGCUAAUUCCGUGCCAGCAGCCGCGGUAAUACGGGAGUGGCAAGCGUUAUCCGGAAUUAUUGGGCGUAAAGCGUCCGCAGGCGGCUUUUCAAGUCUGCUGUUAAAGCGUGGAGCUUAACUCCAUCAUGGCAGUGGAAACUGAAAGGCUUGAGUAUGGUAGGGGCAGAGGGAAUUCCCGGUGUAGCGGUGAAAUGCGUAGAUAUCGGGAAGAACACCAGUGGCGAAGGCGCUCUGCUGGGCCAUUACUGACGCUCAUGGACGAAAGCCAGGGGAGCGAAAGGGAUUAGAUACCCCUGUAGUCCUGGCCGUAAACGAUGAACACUAGGUGUCGGGGGAAUCGACCCCUUCGGUGUCGUAGCUAACGCGUUAAGUGUUCCGCCUGGGGAGUACGCACGCAAGUGUGAAACUCAAAGGAAUUGACGGGGGCCCGCACAAGCGGUGGAGUAUGUGGUUUAAUUCGAUGCAACGCGAAGAACCUUACCAGGGUUUGACAUCCUGCGAACCUCUUAGAAAUUUGAGGGUGCCUUCGGGAAUGCAGUGACAGGUGGUGCAUGGCUGUCGUCAGCUCGUGUCGUGAGAUGUUGGGUUAAGUCCCGCAACGAGCGCAACCCACGUUUUUAGUUGCCAGCAUUUAGUUGGGCACUCUAGAAAGACCGCCGGUGAUAAACCGGAGGAAGGUGUGGAUGACGUCAAGUCAUCAUGCCCCUUACACCCUGGGCUACACACGUACUACAAUGCUACGGACAAAGGGCAGCAAACUCGCGAGAGCUAGCAAAUCCCAUAAACCGUGGCUCAGUUCAGAUCGUAGGCUGCAACUCGCCUACGUGAAGUAGGAAUCGCUAGUAAUCGCAGGUCAGCAUACUGCGGUGAAUACGUUCCCGGGCCUUGUACACACCGCCCGUCACACCAUGGAAGUUGGCCAUGCCCGAAGUCGUUACUCCAACCCUUGUGGAGGAGGACGCCGAAGGUGGGGCUAAUGACUGGGGUGAAGUCAUAACAAGGUAGCCGUA
rnacentral:rRNA from 1 species